rnacentral:rRNA from 1 species
UGAGAGUUGGGUUAGUCCGUAACGAGCGCGACCCUUAUCCUUAUUUGCCAGCACGUCAUGGUGGGAACUAUAAGGAGACUGCCGGUGAUAAACCGGAGGAAGGCGGGGGCGACGUCAAGUCAUCAUGGCCCUUACGACCAGGGCUACACACGUGCUACAAUGGGAAGGACAAAGAGCCGCGAAGCCGCGAGGUGUAGCUAAUCUCAGAAACCUUUUCGUAGUCCGGAUUGGAGUCUGCAACUCGACUCCAUGAAGUCGGAAUCGCUAGUAAUCGUAGAUCAGAAUGCUACGGUGAAUACGUUCCCGGGUCUUGUACACACCGCCCGUCAUACCAUGGGAGUGGGUUGCACCAGAAGUGGCUAGUCUAACUUAGUGAGGACGGUCACCACGGUGUGAUUCAUGACUGGGGUAAAGUCGUAACAAGGUAGCCCUACCGGAAGGUGGGGCUGGAUCACCUCCUU